GUAGGAGAAUGUGGAAGAAACGCGGGAAGUGAAAUUGCUGUGGAUGACAUCAUCGUUUUGGAAGGGCAAUGCGACAACAAGGCCACCUUCUCAGAUCUGGAGUGUGAUUUUGAUUUCAACGCUUUCUGUGCGUACAAAAACAACCCAAACAAUGACUUUGACUGGCAUCUCCAUAGCGGUCCAAUAUCAGGCCCUGACACUGGGCCCGAAGCAGACCGUACCACAGGAGAUCCAAGCGGAUUUUAUAUAUACAGCGAGGCAUCGAGACACCCUCGAGGUGAUCAAGCUCGAUUAGAU